GACGAACGCUGGCGGCGUGCCUAACACAUGCAAGUCGAGCGAUUCUCCUCGGAGAAGAGCGGCGGACGGGUGAGUAACGCGUGGGUAACCUGCCCUGUACACACGGAUAACAUACCGAAAGGUAUGCUAAUACGAGAUAAUAUGCUUUUAUCGCAAGGUAGAAGUAUCAAAGCUUUUGCGGUACAGGAUGGACCCGCGUCUGAUUAGCGAGUUGGUAAGGUAACGGCUUACCAAGGCGACGAUCAGUAGCCGACCUGAGAGGGUGAUCGGCCACAUUGGAACUGAGACACGGUCCAAACUCCUACGGGAGGCAGCAGUGGGGAAUAUUGCACAAUGGGCGAAAGCCUGAUGCAGCAACGCCGCGUGAGCGAUGAAGGCCUUCGGGUCGUAAAGCUCUGUCCUCAAGGAAGAUAAUGACGGUACUUGAGGAGGAAGCCCCGGCUAACUACGUGCCAGCAGCCGCCGUAAAAC
rnacentral:rRNA from 1 species